AGAGUACGUGAAACCGUUCAGGGGUAAACCUGAGAAACCCGAAAGGUCGAAAGGGGAGAUUCAGCGUGUCUCGAUUGCGGCGCUGAGCGGUCGUGCGACGGAAGGCGUACGCGUCAUCCGCACCUUCCGUUCUCCGAACCGUAGUCGAACGCGUGCACUUCUCCCCCUGUAGGACGUCGCGAUCCGUUGGGUGCCGGUCUAAGGCCCGCGAUGGAGCCCGUUCGGACGGUUUACCGUUCCGGACGAACUCGCGGUGUUUCCCGGUCGGCUCGCUCGACGGUAUACAGAUGGCGCGGGGCCGCUACAUUAGUUAGCGUCCGACCGGCGGCAAGCGCGCUCGUCGUGACGGUGAUCGGACCUGGUGCCGGUCCUGUCCCCGAGUGGCUGUUCGCUGCCGUGUUCUCGGACAGACCUCGUUGAAACGCCGAUCUGCGACGCUAUAGCUUUGGGUACUUUCAGGACCCGUCUUG
rnacentral:rRNA from 1 species